ensembl:lncRNA
UUUUAUUUUGUUGAUGGGUGUUUCCUUUUUGUUGGCGGGGUUGUGUUCUUUCCCAGACAUUGCUUUUCGUUGUCCUCCUAACUCACCCCUCCAACAGCAGGCAUGUCUUGCUCAGCCCAACAAUGCACUUCCCUCAGUCAUGGCCCCAGCUGCCCCCAUCACACUCAGGAGCUCACUGCCCUCUUCCUUCGUGAAGGAGCAGCAAGCCUACGUGCCUGCAGGGUGAUUUAGCCUGCAAACAAAAAUAGAAGCUUGUGAAUGAUGUUUUACAGUGGUCUUAGUGAGACACAGAGAACACCAAGGAGUCCUGCUUCAGGUAAACAUCUCUGCUGCAUGUGGGCUGGGGGAAAGCACUGCUCCCUGGAGCGGAUGCAGUUGGUGUACACAGUGACACAGCCAACAAGGCCAAAGUACCCACUUCACUAUCAAUAAAUCAGGCAGUCUCAUGUGAUGAAAACAGGCACUUUCCACAGAGCUUCCUGGGUAGCACCGGGGUUUCUCUCCUCAGCUACCUCCCAUUUUGUACCACCACGCAGCAGCAGCGCGAGGACUAAACCAAAUGCAAACUGAACUUCAUCUUGUUUAAGGGCCUGUUCCUGUGGGCUCCUGAGGCGUGCAGGCUGCAAAGUUCAGGUCAGAAACACUGCUGGCAGUAUGUGUGCACUGGGAACAGACUGGCCCAAGCACUCAGGUGACGAGAUGACUAACAAGGCAGAGCCCAGCCUCGCCUUUCUGAAUGGCGCUCAGCACAGCACAGCACUCCAAUCUUCUUUGGAAGAGAUUGCCAAAGAGAUGCCGUUCAACUCCAGGACUUAGCUCUGGAAGGAUGCCCCAGACUACAUGGACGAUGUGCACAGAACUGCCCUCACAACCAUCGGCGUUAGGUAAGAGCCACCAUGUGUCCAUGAGGCAGCACAGGACAGCUGAUGGAGCACCAGCCACCCCUUCCUUCCCUCUAGGAAUUUUGCUCUUCCCUCAUCCAUCAGUUUGGUACUAUUUGUGUAUUUACACACUCACGCACCCCAGGCAAAUUUUCCCCCAGAAGCACAAGUGUACUCACUUCUGCUUUCAUAUUUGCAGACUGUGCCAACACAGCCAUACACACCAGUUAUAUCCUGCAGAAACAGCCUAGUGAGGCCUCUUUUAGACAUACAAGCAACCCAAGAAAACUACUGCCAAACAUCACGAUGCAAUAGCUGCAGUUUGAUCUCAACGUUCUCCCUGGGCCUGCAUUAUGGGUGCAGCUCCCAUUCCUGAGGACACAUUAACGCUUGGAAGCCAGCGGUUUUGAGAGACUACAGCAAUUUGAGCUCCAUUUUCAAAGCCACUGAAAGCAAUGGCUGUCCCAAAAUGCAGGUUUCCACUGAACGGCAACAAAGCUCUUCCCAGCAUGCACCCACCAUGUUUUGACGGCUUUUAAAUGAGAACAGCAAGUGCUUUGAUGGGUGGGCUCAUUUCUCAGCAUAAUUACCAACCCCACUGCAAAACUUGGCAGUGGAUAAAAUGGCAGGUAUUUAUAAAUUAGAACUGCAAUCCUUGAAAAUCUGUUUCACAUUUUGUCUAAGCCAAUGAGACAAACCAAUACACUGCGUUCCACGAGGAAGAGAGAAGCAGACUUGAAAACUGGGAUUAAUCUCACUCUGUGUCCGGGUUAGCCACAAGGACCUCCCUUAUGGUCAGCGAAAAGAAACUCUUCCAGAACACGAUUCAUCUGCCCUACUCCACACGGCUACCCUGGGAUGCCCUCCCUUACUAAAGGGAAGCUGGGAACUUCGCAGCCCUGUUAUAUGAGUAACGAAGGAAUCAAUUUUCAACUUCUGUUUUAAGCUACUGUAAAAGGUAUCUUGGAAAAUGAGAGCUUUUUGAUAAUGACUGUGCAGAUUUUUCUCCAUCUCCUCCUAAGUGGAAAAAUACAAGUGUGGUCUCUUACAGUUUUCAUUUAACAACUAUCCUGCUCAAAUCUGCAAAUGAAGCUCUGCAACAGCGGCCUUGUGUGUGAGAAUUAAAUGAAGAACUCAGGCCAAUGUACAAAGGAAGCGAUUGAUCUAUUUUCACUCUUAAUAGAAUUAAUUGGAAAGUAAACACAGUCAGAUAAAGAGCAGAAAGUAGAUUUCAUCAUGCAAUAUCCUUCUACGUUAAUAAAAGGAUGUUUGCUUAUAAGGAAGGAAGAAUAAUCUCGUGGCUAAGGGCAUGAUGUUCAAAGUGCACUACCAGCUCUGGACUGUGUUUCCUGCUUACCUCAGUACCACCCAGACUGUGCGUACUACCAGGGACUUCAAUUUCUGGAGAAGAGAUGGUUGUGGAAGGAGGCCUUCUUGCAAGCAAGAUGAAAUGGGCACUGCUUAAGAGGUUUCUCUACAGCACAGCAUCAAGGGCUGAGUUUUUUCUGUACAGAUAGGCUGACUGCUGGGAGGAAGGACCCCAAGGACAUUAAGGAGGAUGUGACUAUUACAGCACAGAGUUUAGGCUCAUGACGUUGCCCUUGUCCCUGCAGUGCUGCUUCAUUUGAAAUGACUUCUCUAGAAACUCCCCCACCACGCAGCCUUGCUCUCGGCAUACGAAGGGUUAGCAACAAGAGCCUCCUUAACUUCACUGUGAAGCCUACCUCUUCCCCAGCUGACAACCACAGGCACAUAAAUAGCCUUCUGAAGAAACCAGGAGGGAUCAUUUCUGCGGAAUUAACGUGAACACUUAACUUGUGAGUGCCAGAAGUGCAUCCUGAGGGCAGUGUUUGUGCUGUGGUAUGGGCUAUACCUAGCUGAAAUCUGCCUGUACCUCUGCUGAGAGCACUUCACACCUCCUGAUCCCUUGCUGUUUAUAAUGCACCCGGAUCCUCACCUUGCAGAGGCAACCCUGUAUAACAGCACUGUUCCCCAUGCUAAUACUAACAUUAGAGGCAUCACAAAGAACUUUCAACAAAGUAAAGGGUUUUUAAUUUCAGAGCUGAUUCCACCAUCAGCAGUGGAGACUUUGAAAAUGUCGAAGCGAUUCACAUCACUUCCAGUUCUCUUUAAUUAUUUAUCUCUCAUCUACAUAAACAGUCUAACUCCACUCUCACUCAUGCUUGUAACCGUAUUAUGGUACAUACAGUUUCUUCUACUAAGUUGGCUGUUCAGGAUUGGUCGCUGGGAAAAGUCAACAUCCUUGGUCAAAGAGCAUCGAACAAUUAGUACACUUCAUUUCGCUGCCACCAAUGAUGUCACCAAGAGCAAAGUACAACAACAGAAGUGACAGCCAGGCAGGAUGGAACUUUUCUGAAGUAUUGCUUGAGCAACAGCCACACAAACCCCUCAUUGUUUAUCUGCCUGGGGAAGCGCACGACAUGCAAACAGCUACCUACGUGCUGCUCAACACAUAUUAAGAGAUGCUCAGGCAUAUUUAUCACUGGAAGAGAACAUCUCCAACAGACUGCAAGCUCGAUCAUGUAAAUUUGGGAAAAGAGAAUCCCAUUAAAAAAGCGAAAUUAAUGUUAAGUGUAUCAGAUGAAAGAUUCUGUUCGUAAAGCCUGCGCCAGAACAGAAAUUGAAGCUACUUCGAAGACAUUCAGGUCAUUCAGAGAAUAAUUUUAAAAUGGCAAGGAAAGACAGUCUGAUGAUCCAUGUAUGGAAAGAGGAGCCAGAAGCUCUGAAUCAUUAAUAACAACACUUAGCAGUUAAUCACUGUAGAUCUCCACUACUCCACAAAAUGGAUAUGAAUCGCUGGCACCAGACCGUGGCUCCUCUGCAGUAGGUUGGCAUCAUGCGGCUUCACGAGGAGGCCUGCAGAGAACAAGGGUGCUUUCCAAACACCAGUCAGUAAUUACAGCUCCUGUCCCUGUAUCCACCUACCCACAGUUCUCACUUAACAUUUCCCAUGCUGCAGUCCUAUCUGCACGAACACAGGAUGAAAUGAAGUUUUCACUCAGUUCAUCUGUGGCAAAUAUCCUUUUCAGAGAGUCAGAGCUGCUUCAAGUAGCUGAACUUGACUUUCAGCAUCCUCAUGUGCUUCGGUAGACUCAUCAGCACCCUCUGUAUCUGAAAGCACUUUCAUGCUUUUAUUUAAGAGCAACACAGUGUUCAGCUAAACCCAUCUUUCCAGUCCCUAUCUCUCUGUGCUUUGCUGUUUUUCCUCAGUCCCACUUAUAGCCUUGAGUCUUUGUACUUCCUUUGCAAAAAAAGAGACUAAUGCUCCCAGAAAAUAAGCAGUGUGCUGAAAUAAUAAAACAAAUGUCAAAGGUAACAUCAGGCUGCACAUCUCUAGAGCACUGGCUUUCUAUCUGGUUCCCUCAGCAAUGCUACACCCUGACUGAGACUGCUUCCUACAAAACGUGCCCCAACUCCCCUCUGUACAAUGGCAACAACAGUUCCACAGGGAAAAAGUGAAAACCUGCAAGGCUGUCUGCCUUUUAUUUGGAAUGCCUUGUUAGUAAUGACACGAUGCUAUCACUCACUAUUUCUGCACCUAUGCCAUUAUACUUACAUGCUUAGAAAUACGACCAUCUCCAACCAAAGAGCAGGUAUCCCUCAGUUCAUCCCUUGACAGCUUUGCUAUCUACUAGAAGUCCAUCAGAAACCAGAGUGUAUUAACAAAAUCCAUUUCUACUAGCUACCACUGCAGUCAGUGUGAGAUUAAAACCUUGCACUCUCUCAGCUACACCCAAAACUUCUAUUUCACUCCAUAACCAAGUCAUAAUAACCCAGAGUUUCACACAUCCUUCCUUUCCACUGCAAUGAUGGGUCAACAUAAGGAGAAGAGGAAUUACUUAUUGAACCUUUAUCGAAAGGAACAAGAAUUACAUUAAAAUUGAAAAAUGGCUGACAUCACAAAGGAAGACAUGGGCUAAAUCCUUCAGGAAAAAAAAAAUUGAUCUUGUAAAUCCAGUCUGCAGAAUAGGGAUGCAGAUUUUUAUAUAAAACUUUGUAUUUCCCCUCCUCUGUGUUUUCUGUAACACAGAAGCCGCCUUGUAAAUCUUUGUGUUGGAGAUAUUUGUCCCAGUAACGUAAACAUCAUAUAACAAAGCUACAGUAACUUCAAAGGAAGAGGCUGUUCAUGGCAAAUCUGAAGAAUAUUUGCUGUCCCCUGGACAGAUUUUUUUUUUUUUUUUUUAACAAACUUGCUCAAGCAAAAUCUAUUUUAAAACCCCAUUCUCCAGGUGUGCCUUCAAAGGGAAGCGAAGCUGCCUCCCUUUGACGCUGAGCUGCAGAGAAAACCAUUUCCUGGUCAAGGUCAGGUUCUGUGCCAAGAUGCUGCUUGGCCAAGUGGCAGUGCCAAGCAGUGCUGAGAACCACAACUUGCAGCAAGGACUGAUUUUAAGAACCCAACUUCCCGCUUUUCAGAGGGAUUAUCUGCAUUCUUCUUCUUCAUCCAAAUCUGCUGGAUACUUCUACAGUGUGUCACAGAUUUAUUUCCUUCAGUAAAUGCACUCAUGUUCCUCCAAAGGCUUCAUCUGAUACCCAGGAACGCUUCUCUCCCAUCCUGCUGAACCUCAUUAGCUACAUGAGAAAUACACUCCCACUUCUCUCUGAAGUUCGUAACCUGUGUCACCUUAUUUCCCUUUCAAGUAUCAAGUACACUGAGCAAACACAUUACAGAACAAACCAGGCUGGAAGGGACCGUGCAAGACCACCUUUCACGGGAUAAAGGAGCCCAAAUGAGCCUUGGUCAUUACACUUCCUGCAGUCAGUCCAUUAUGCCUCAACAAAGAUUCAGGAAAUCAGAAAACUAAAAUUUGAUAAUUAAGUUAUUGUUCUUGUUUCAGUUCUUGAAGGAAUUUCAAAAAUAAACGUUCCUACAAACUAACAUCCCAAAGGACCACACUUUGAUGUCAUGUUAACUACUGACAUACCUAAAACGCUUUAUCUAGUGAAGUUCUAUCAGGAGAUCUCUAGUGCUUCCAGCAAGACUAAUCCAAUACAGCAGAAUCCAGUAUACAACACAUUUCUGUCGGAAGGGCAACCUGGUGUGCUCUCCUGCUGCCUCUUCAUUGACUUCAUGAAUCCUGUCCUCAAGGAAGGUCCAAGCCUGGGGUAAGGAUGAAGAUGGGACCAUGCCUCUCAGUACUACUGUGGACUGAAGCCUUACUAAGGGGACUGCAAAGGAAGACAUGGCCUAAGCAACUAGAGAAGAAAAAAAGAGUUAUGAAGAGAAUGGUGUAACACAGAUGUUAACAAUGAGCUGUGGUCUGUCCUGAAGAGGGCAGUGAGAGAAAGCAAGCCUGUCCUACAACUACCAGCCACAGGAAAGCAUACAGCCUUGCCUAGGUACUUUCCUUCAUUUUUUCAAAUGGAAAAAAAUAGCAAUUAAAAAAUACGUGGAAGUAUAAAAUUUUCCAACCAGGUUCAUUAACCAUACCCACACAUGUUGAAAGCAAAUAGGCGGAACACAUGUCAUGCUUCAAGUGGUCAUUCAAACCACAGCAGUCUUACAUGACCAGGCUCCUUGAGCUUCAGUGAGCUGACUCCUGAGCUGUGACAUGUCUCAGAGAUGCGGCGUGGUAAUGACAUAAUUUACAAUUUAGUCUAAGGCAUGUUUGGCAAGUGGUGAAAAUCCAUACAAGGAUGAUUGGUUGAAGUACCAAACUCACUGUUGGUGCCUGCUCUUCCCCUUUAUCCUUUCUGCCUCCAUCACACUUGCUCCUGGAAAAGCAGUUAUUACUUUUAACCAUAAGCUUGACUGAAAACUUUUCAUUGCAUUAAUCUAUCAGUUCAUAGGCCUUUCAUCAGCC